rnacentral:rRNA from 1 species
UACGUAGGGGGCAAGCGUUGUCCGGAUUUAUUGGGCGUAAAGAGCGCGUAGGCGGCCAGACAGGUCCGUUGUGAAAACUCGAGGCUCAACCUCGAGACGCCGAUGGAAACCGUCUGGCUAGAGUCCGGAAGAGGAGAGUGGAAUUCCUGGUGUAGCGGUGAAAUGCGCAGAUAUCAGGAAGAACACCCGUGGCUAAGGCGGCUCGCUAGUACGGUACUGACGCUGAGACGCGAAAGCGUGGGGAGCGAACAGG